GGUUUUCUGCGAAAUGCAGCACAGUGGCCACCCGCGGGGCGGAGCGCAAAUGGCCGUGUCCUUGCGGGAUAGGAAAGGAGGUGCCGGAAACUUUGAACCCCUGCCAGAGUACAACGUGUCCACUUAGACGGCGGUGCUGCGGGUACAGCUGUGAACAGAAGUGACGAAGUCCCUCAGAGCAUCUAAACUAGUAGAGAGACAGACCCACACACCGCAAUGUCAGAAGCCGACAGGUACUCUGAAGAAAAGUCACAGUAAGAAGAGUGACAAGACAGUCCUUGUAGAGGACCUCCCUGGGAAGGCACUGUGUGAACAAAGAUCUGAACGAGCGAGGUGAUAUCCCAGAGUCCCUUCCUGUGCUCCCCCUUCCUUCCCUCAGGGACCUGCCAGCCCUCUGGGCCCGGUUAGAUUGGGGGCUGCAGUGCCACGUGCAGCUGCCAAAGCACUCCUGAGGCAAAGCAACGAACAAGCAGCAUCGCUUUCUCUUCCCUGGUCCGCACAGUCGCCAUCCUCCACAUCCCAUGAGCACAGCAUUUGUACCUGCCAGGUCCACGUGUCUGUCUCUCGCACAAGACUGGUUAUUCUCAGAUUUUAAUGUGCUGAAGAAUCGCUUGGGGUGCUAACUGAACAAAUUUAGAUUCAAGGGGCCACUCUUUAAACGUUCCGAAUGUGUCGAGCUGCGCCCAGGCACCAGCUUAUGUAGGCAAGGGCCAGGUCAUUCCAACGCAAGUGGUGGGGGAGCCUGGCCUCGAAGACACGGUCAUCGGCAAUAAGCUCCUCAAGGGGCAAGGUCUGAACUGGCCUGUUUCUGUCCCCAGAACGCAGAGCAUUUGGUGAGCAGUCAAUAAAUAACCAAGAGAAGCAUCCGCCUCAUCGGACACUGACCCUUGUUCUGCUUACAGCGAACACCCCUUCAGGUGGUCACCUUCUCUUCCUUCCCAAGAUUCAACUUCUGGAGGCCAGAGACCCCACUUUGCAUUUCUUCUGUGGGCCUAGCAGUAUUUUUUCGGAGUAAAUAACAAGAGACCUUCAGGAAAUACUUACUGAGACAAAGAAUAAAUGAGAGGAAGGGAGGAA